AGAAAGUGACAGAGGGUAAUGUAUCUGGCUUGAAACCAGAAUAUGGGGGUUCGAUUCCCCCCUUUCUC
rnacentral:tRNA from 1 species